UGCCUUCUAGAUACUCAUCAACUUCUGUGUGUGGUGUAUUGAUUUGCACUUGUGGGAUUUGUUGUUUUGUAAUAGGAGGUCAUAAGUCACUUCCUGUGUGUAUCAUUAGUCUCCGCAACCAGACUGCCAAGUCAUUUCGGGAAGGGAUGCCUCCGUGUCGGUCCGCGUGUGUGUAGCUCAUUCUCAUAUUCUCCGGGAUCACGGUCGUGCCCCCUGUGCACGCGCCUUCGCCUUUAGGAGGGGCUGCUGGUUAUCUCUUCCUCUCCGUCAGAUGCUGCGUUAUUUUCGUAAAAUCUCUUAAGCUCUGUGCUUGCUGACCAGUGUCUCUAAACAAUGCUCUGUUAUAACUGGAAAGAAUUAGAUCCUGUUGGUGUAGAGUUUGUGAUGGAACACUUCAUCAGAAAUCCGGAAUGUGGCUUCCGUGAGAAAAUAACCCCUUCAUCUCUGUCAAGGUCUGAAACCCAAGGGAGGGAUGCUGCCUUUGUCUCUUGGUUUUUAAUGUUUUAGAUGUAGACAAGGUGAUUGGAGCAGAGCUUAGAUACUUUUAUAUUUUAAAGUAAAUGACAGUGUAUCUAUUCUUAGGAACCUUUUAGAAAAAUUUCUUCGACAUUGAUCCUGUUACUAGUUGUAACCUCGAUAUAUUUUGAUAAUUUCCUGGAAACCCAUACCUUUCCUUCUGUGUGGGCUUCAGCUGUCUCCUCCUUCCAUAGCAGUCAAAGUAUGGACAGCGCCUGAGUCACUUUUUAGUUCAAAUUCCGUGGCCCUUAAUGUCAGACACAGACAAUUUAUUCAGCUACUUGAUCCAGCCAAACAUCUCUCUGUAACAGGAAAAUGAAUAAAUAGAAUGUUCCUUAACAUAUUGCUUGCAUGGACCAAAACCAUGUAGUAAAGCUCCGUUCAGCUCUUCCUCUCGAAAGAGGAUUAUUGGUUUCCUGCCUUUAACUCCGGCUUGAACAGUUUGACCUUUCUGAGGGCUUUUUGGAAAGUAUUAAGGAAAAAAUUAACAAAACUCGUGCAACCUCAAGGAAUUUUAAGUAUCAGAGUUCACCUCUGUAAAGGUGCUUGGUUCAGAACUUGAGCCUUACUUGCAUUCCUUCCGUGCAUAAUACAGGUCAUUAUUCACGUAUCUGACCCUUGGAUAGCUCGAGUUUGCUUGCCCGGAUAAUAAUAACGGCGAGCGAGGAUCAUCCCCCUCAGCGGGACCAAGAGUUCUAGAGCCGACCUGUGGGGAGGGAGUUCUCAUCCUCCAGUCUUCGUUCAAGAUGUUUUGGCGUCUGUUGAGGACUUUUUCCCACCUUGGAAAUCCGAGGUGGGACUUUGGCCUGGUUCCGUCAAGGACUCUGGAAACCACUUAGCUUGGAGUGGUGCCUUUUGAGUCUGUUCUUGGCAGGGAGCCUUGGCUUUUUUCCUGCGAGAGGCCCUGUGCCUCUUAGGAGCAGAGAGGAGGUCAGAUGCAGAUAACACGGGCAUGGUGUCUGUCUCCUGCAAUGCUGCGCUGAUGUGUGUUUCUCCCUCCCCCCGAGGGUUUAAGGAAGAACACAUUUAUCAUGGAGCGUUAUGAACAGAGAUUACCAGCAGGCAGAGAGAGAGAGAGGAGGAAGCAGGCUCCCUGCCGAGCAGGGAGCCUGAUGCGGGGCUCGAUCCCAGGACCCUGGGAUCAUGACCUGAGCCGAAGGCAGAGGCUUUAACCCACGGAGCCACCCAGGCGCCCCUUCAGCCUCCUUUAACAAGCGUUCAGAUCUCUGCCUGAGGAGGCGGCGUGUUCCAAGGGCGGCUGCGGUGGAAAUGGGGUCCGUCUAGUGCAGCCGCAGCAGUUCCAGCGCAUAGACCGUCCCCGUCUAACAGUAAACCGUCUGCUUAAAGCAACAAAACAAGGCUGGUGGGAGCUGGAAGGAGCAGGCUUUUGUGUCCGGGAAGGAACACGAGUGGCUGCGGAAAGCCCGUCUUGGUGAUGGUUUCAGAUCGUGAAAGGACUCAAUUGCUAGUUGGUUAUAUUUCUGUGUAUGUUUUUGCGGACUUUUAGUUCUCCAGGAGACACGAAGGUUAAAGAAGUGGCCCUGUUUCUGCCGGAGGACGCGCUCCUGUUGUCGGACCGACUGCCUCGCCGUUCCCGAGCGGCAUCGUUUCGGACGUCGUUCACCGGGGAGCCGGGUAUUGGGGGUGUCGUCCCGCUCUUCUUUGCGCCUUCCUUUCGGCAGGUCAGCUCUGCACGUCAGCGUGUGGCUAAAGCUGUCACAGCAGCUGGAAGUUCCGACGUCAGGUCUAAGAGGCGAUGCUCUGCGCUUCCAGCGGAUGGUGGCUGCUAGGCGGAGGGCGGAAGGCUGUGGGGUCGUGGAAGGUGACGACGCCAAGUUUAACUGUUUAUCAAGCUCAGUCAGGAACUUUGAGCUACGUUAACUGCUCUGCAAACAUGGGCCCAUUCUAAGGUCGGUUUGAUGAGUCUCGGUGUACAGAUGCGGAACUUGAGGCUGAGAGAGAGAACGACUCCGCGGUGGCACCCGGCAUGUGGUGUGGCCGGGAUCGGCACUGAGGUCCCCCAUCGGUAAAGCUCUCGCGGGCGACCAGUGCCGGUCACAUUACUCUCUCUCGUGAUGUGGCUUUUUGCCCUGCCCCUACCGGUUCUCUUCCUUCCCCCUUUGAGGUGCUUUAAGCAUCUGCAUCUCGAAUGACACUCGUCGCCUUUCUGAUGUCCUGUGAGGCAAGGUGAUGCCUUAUAUUCAUGCAAAUACUAGAUAAUUGGGGGAUAAGAGAAAUCGUAGUUUUAUUUUAUCUCCCCUUGACUCUCGGAGAUUUGUGCUGUGUUACUAAUCCUGUCUGUUCCAUGAUCGCACUGUGUGACCAGACGUGCGUAACACAGUUGUAGCCUUACCGGAGCUCUCAGAACGCACCGUGUGCGGGAGCCUGAGGCUGCUCGGCUGGGCCCGGGGGCCAGGCAGGCUCCGAGUCGCCGCUUAGUCAGCCACAGCCCUGGUGAGACCGCGGUGACGUCACUUCCUCUCUCUGGGCUUUGCUCCUUCUUCUGUGCGGCCUUCCGAUCCGGUCCCCCCCGCGUGGGAGGCACGGCCUUUAUCAGGACGCCAAACGGGUCACAUGCAGCAUGUCCUCGUGUGCCUGUUACGUUUAGGUGUUUCUAGGAGGGAUGGUUAGUAAAAUAGAAAUUCAUUAAAAAACAUUAUUAAA